rnacentral:rRNA from 1 species
UGCCAGCAGCCGCGGUAAUACGGAGGGGGCUAGCGUUGUUCGGAAUUACUGGGCGUAAAGCGCGCGUAGGCGGUUUAGCAAGUUGAAGGUGAAAGCCCGGGGCUCAACCCCGGAAGUGCAUUGGAAACUGGCGAACUUGAGUACGGGAGAGGAAAGUGGAAUUCCGAGUGUAGGGGUGAAAUCCGUAGAUAUUCGGAGGAACACCAGUGGCGAAGGCGGCUUUCUGGACCGAUACUGACGCUGAGACGCGAAAGCGUGGGGAGCAAACAGGAUUAGAUA